AAUUCUUAAUUUCAUUGUAAAUUCUCUAUUUGAUCUAGUUCGAGGCUUAAAUCAACUUUAUUGUACCUCUAGGUACAAUACCGACUUUUGUAAAUUUUUCAAGACUCUCUUAGCAUGUAAACAUGCUAUCCACCACAUGUAUGUCAUCACAAAUAUUUUUAUAGAGUCGGGCUUGUCAUCUUCUCCCCCACUUGGAUCAACCAUAUGAUCCUCCUUCUUGAUUGACU
rnacentral:lncRNA from 1 species